rnacentral:rRNA from 1 species
AUACAGAGGGUGCAAGCGUUAAUCGGAUUUACUGGGCGUAAAGCGCGCGUAGGUGGCUAAUUAAGUCAAAUGUGAAAUCCCCGAGCUUAACUUGGGAAUUGCAUUCGAUACUGGUUAGCUAGAGUAUGGGAGAGGAUGGUAGAAUUCCAGGUGUAGCGGUGAAAUGCGUAGAGAUCUGGAGGAAUACCGAUGGCGAAGGCAGCCAUCUGGCCUAAUACUGACACUGAGGGGCGAAAGCAUGGGGAGCAAACAGGAUUAGAUACCCGGGUAGUCCAUGCCGUAAACGAUGUCUACUAGCCGUUGGGGCCCUUGAGGCUUUGGUGGCGCAGCUAACGCGAUAAGUAGACCGCCUGGGGAGUACGGUCGCAAGACUAAAACUCAAAUGAAUUGACGGGG